CCACAAAGUAAAAUACCGCUUCACAAUGUGUAGGAGGUAGGUACAUACUUCACUUUGGCUUCACUCAAUCAAUCGGUCUUCGUUCGUUCGUAUGUGUUUUGCAAUUUUAUCAGCACAUUUAGGAGAUUCUUUGCAGAUUUCUUUUGAAAUGAGUGAUCCAGAAACUGUUUCCGAAUCCGAGGUAAAAACCGAUGCUUCGACUUCGACUCCGAAAAAGAAGAAACAAAAAAGAAUGUGUUAUUUUCUCGAUGUUUGGAUGAAAAGUUACUCGUUCAUCAAAUCCGUUCCAAAUAAUAAGUUAAGAGCACUUUGCACAUUGUGCCAAAAACAGUUUAGCAUAUCUCAUGGUGGCAAGAAUGAUAUAGAAAAACAUCAAAAAUGUAAUGAACACCAAAAAAGAGAAAAAAGUGCUAGUCUAUCUACAUCGCUGAAAAUAUUUUUAAAAACUGAACAAAUGAGCACUCAAGAAGAAAAAGUGAUAGCUGCUGAAGUCACAAAGACGUACCAUUCGGUCAAGCAUAGCUUAUCAUUCAAUUCACUUGAAUGUGAUACAAAACUCGAUCAUACUUUGUAUGGUGAUUCAAAAAUUGCUGAAAAACUGACACUUGGACGAACUAAGGCCAGUGCCAUUGCACAUAACGUUUUAGGUCCAGCAUCGACUCAAGAGGCUGUCGAAACUUUGCAAAAUGAUACAUUUUAUAGUGUUGCUACUGACGCCUCCAAUCACGGUGCCACAAAAAUGUUUCCGCUGAUGGUGAGGUUUUACAGCCCAAAUACAAAUUUAAAAACGUGUGUGCUUGACUUUUAUGAAGACGCAAAUGAAACUGCAUCAGCCAUUCAUAAGAAUUUAGUAACACGACUGAGAGAGCACAAUAUUGACACUAAACAUCUUACCAGUUACUGUGCAGAUAAUGCAAAUGUGAACUUUGGGUGUCGUAAUUCAGUUUUUCAGUUAUUGCAUCACGAUAAUGACAACAUUUUAUCAGUCGGUUGUCCUGCACACAUCUUGCACAACAGUGUAAAGUAUAGCCUGGGUAAGAGUAAGUUUGAUUUAGAAACCAUAACCAUUUUUCAUACUAUGCAAAACGGGUUGCCGCGUUAAAAGAUUUCUAUGAGAUGCGCGAAGCUGAAUUUGCUCCUGUCUUGCGGCAUGUUAAAACAAGAUGGUUGUCACUUCUUCCUGCUGUGGAACGUGCUACCAAAUCUUUCCAUAUACUGAAAGAUUAUUUUAUAUCAUUGGAAGAAGACGAAUGUCCAACUGCGCUGUGGCAAUUCUUUAAUUCUGACAAAACAGAACCUUAUCUGGCAUUUUACCAAAAUGCACUGAAAGUCUUACAGGAUGCAGUAUUACGUCUUGAAAACGAAACAUUGCUGUGCUUCGAAGGUCACGAAAUAAUGGUUGAACUGAGUAAAAAAUUGAGGCAGCGGAUCGAAGAUGAAUUUGUAGGAUUCACGUGCAGCAACUUAUUUAAAAAGUUGCCUGCUGAUGAAGUUUCCAAAAUAAAAAACGAGUGUUGACGACUCAUUCUCUUACGCGUCAAUGGUCAAAAUUAUUGAAAACUUCAAAAUUGAUUCGUUCUUCGACAUGGAUCAACUUUACGAAGAAGUGUGUAAAGUCAAAGAAGUAGUGAAAGCAGCAGUGCAAAACAAAGACUUGACGGCGUUACAAAAGUGGCACAACAUUUUUAAAGACAAUCAAGACUUUGCAAAUCUUCAAAAGUUAUUUUCUUUUAUGGCUUCAAUACCGGUAUCAAACGCGGCAACGGAAAGGGUAUUUUCCCAGGCUAAUAUAAUUUGGUCUGAGACGCGAAACCGUUUAACACUCGAGCAUGUCAAAGCCGAGAUUCAAAUUAAAACCAACUUUAAUAUGGCUUGUAGUGAAUUCUAUAACUACGUUAUAAAAAACAAGGCGAUGUUAAAGGCAGCAAAAUCUAACGAAAAAUAUAAUUUUAAUAAAAAAUAAAUUAUUUAAAUUUCUAUUAAAGUCAAUAAUUAACUAAUACUUAGACUAAGAUUUUAUUGCAAUACUUACCUAGUUUUAAAUUUCUACUAGUCCAACAAGUCUGACUAUUAUUAUGCAGGAUUAAAUUCUGACAUAGGCCUACUUAAUGUUAGUUGCGA